rnacentral:rRNA from 1 species
UACGUAGGCAGCGAGCGUUGUUCGGAAUCACUGGGCUUAAAGGGCGCGUAGGCGGUUGAUCAAGUCUGGGGUGAAAUCUUUCGGCUUAACCGGAAAAGUGCCUUGGAUACUGGUCAGCUGGAGGGAGGUAGGGGCAGUUGGAACUUCCAGUGGAGCGGUGAAAUGCGUUGAUAUUGGAAGGAACGCCGGUGGCGAAAGCGAGCUGCUGGACCUCUUCUGACGCUGAUGCGCGAAAGCUAGGGGAGCAAACGGG